rnacentral:rRNA from 1 species
CUCAAAUUUGAAAUCUGGCGUCUUUGGCGUCCGAGUUGUAAUUUGCAGAGGGCGCUUUGGCAUUGGCAGCGGUCCAAGUUCCUUGGAACAGGACGUCACAGAGGGUGAGAAUCCCGUACGUGGUCGCUAGCCUUUACCGUGUAAAGCCCCUUCGACGAGUCGAGUUGUUUGGGAAUGCAGCUCUAAAUGGGAGGUAAAUUUCUUCUAAAGCUAAAUACUGGCCAGAGACCGAUAGCGCACAAGUAGAGUGAUCGAAAGAUGAAAAGCACUUUGGAAAGAGAGUUAAAAAGCACGUGAAAUUGUUGAAAGGGAAGCGCUUGCAGCCAGACUUGCCUGUAGUUGCUCAUCCGGGUUUCUACCCGGUGCACUCUUCUAUAGGCAGGCCAGCAUCAGUUUGGGCGGUUGGAUAAAGGUCUCUGUCAUGUACCUCCUUUCGGGGAGAACUUAUAGGGGAGACGACAUGCAACCAGCCUGGACUGAGGUCCGCGCAUCUGCUAGGAUGCUGGCGUAAUGGCUGUAAGCGGCCCGUCUUGAAACACGGACCAAGGAGUCUAACAUCUAUGCGAGUGUUUGGGUGUCAAGCCCGAGCGCGUAAUGAAAGUGAACGGAGGUGGGAACCUUUCGGGGUGCACCAUCGACCGAUCCUGAUGUCUUCGGAUGGAUUUGAGUAAGAGCAUAGCUGUUGGGACCCGAAAGAUGGUGAACUAUGCUUGAAUAGGGUGAAGCCAGAGGAAACUCUGGUGGAGGCUCGCAGCGGUUCUGACGUGCAAAUCGAUCGUCAAAUUUGGGCAUAGGGGCGAAAGACUAAUCGAACUAUCUAGUAGCUGGUUCCUGCCGAAGUUUCCCUCAGGAUAGCAGUAACGUUUUCAGUUUUAUGAGGUAAAGCGAAUGAUUAGAGGCCUGGGGGUUGAAACAACCUU